UCAACCAAUCACUCAACCAUUCAACCACUCAACCACUCAACCACUCAACCAACCAACCAAUCAAUCAAUCAACCAACCAAUCUCUGUUUGUGUGUCUUUGUGCUACAGCCAUUACAACCACACCGGUUCCAACUACAUUUCCAACUACCACCCAACCAACUAGUGACUUCACAACAUUCAGUACAAACCCAACCCCCGAUCUCACAACCAACAAUGUGGAUAACACAACAAUGAGUAAUGGGCCGAGAUACAUUGUUGGACUGAGGAUGAAACUCUCCUCUCUGACAUCAUUAACAGAUGAUGACAUCAGAGGAACGGUCUUACAGAAGCUCCGUGAGGAACUGAUCAGACGAGGGCAGUCAGGGGACGUAACACUACGCCUGAGAGCCAGUCAAGAGAUCAGCCCCUGAGGGAGUAUCUUGCACUCAAUUGUCUUUUGUUCCUGGCACUGAUUCUGCAGACAGUGGUUCUUCUUCUUCUGAAAAACAAGGGUUUACUUGACUGUACAUGGUUGAUGCAUGUGCCACAGUGGAGGCUGCUGAGGGGAGGACGGCUCAUAAUAAUGGCUGGAAUGGAGUAUAAUGUCUGGAAUGGAGUAUAAUGUCUGGAAUGGAGUGUAAUGUCUGG